CUUCUACAGUGAAGGACUGUGCAACGAUAUAAACCACUCGGUGGGAAACAGGAACCUUCGACAUGGUUCCUAUUGUGUUUCAUCGUCAGAAUUUCAUGCACGUGAGAACUCCCCUCCACUCCCAGGAAUAGUAUCGUCAAAGUCCACUCUUUCCCAUUCGUGGGGACACUGCAGCUAUUGCUACCCCUAUUUGCCAGAUAAUCAGAUUUUUUUUUUGUGCAGCCUCUGGACAAUUUUUGGUGUUUUUAAUGAAAGCAACUGCUACAUUACCUAAGGAUUUGACGGAAAAAAUAUUGCAAUGCCAUCUAGGAUUAAACGGAAAAGGCUCCGACGACCCAUGGUUUUGGAUUUGUUUCCUGGAAGUUGGCCAUAUUUUCAAGAUGCCCUGUGUGGGUACUAGAAUCUGAGCCAGUGGGAGACUAAUUUACAGUUGCUGGAUGUAAGGAGGGACGGAUCAGGAGUGGAUGAAAAAAAGGCUAUCACAUGCGUUUGUGUUUGUCAUGACGGAAAAGACUGUUUUUUUUUGGUAACGAUUAAAACAAACAAAGGGCAAGCAACCUCGGUAAGCUGAAACCGCGCUAUUCUCCGACGGCUCUCUGCAAGUGCAGGAAAGACCACCUGAAUCGGUCUAUCUACCGAUGGGCUGGGUGGCCGCAAGCCGGCGCCAACUCCCAUUUUGGCAUAGGACUUGCAUUUGAGAAAAGGAGAGGAUGCGGACCCCCCGCAGAUCUUUGAGGGAGGCUGAGAGGGUAACACAAACCAUGGGGAGUACCCAAGCAUGUGUCAGGUUGGCAUCAAUGUGAAAAUGUCUUGGCAAGCACUCCAUUCUCUCCCCUCCCACCUCAGCUUGCACAAAAACACACUGUUGCCCUGCUUGGAACACAUGGUACAUCAGCAGCGGCAUCUGGCCACGCUGACUCCUGGCAGCUGCGUUUCGUCUUCGCCAGUUGGGAGUCUUGGCACCGCCACUUCAUCAACUACCUGUGGCUCCUCUUGGGUAAAAAGCAGAGCCAUGAAUUAUUCCGCGGCUGCAGCUGCAAACUUGACUUUUAUCCAAAAGAUUCCCAACAAACAUACGGGUGUCUCACAGAACACAUGCCACCCACAAACUAUCGCUCGGUUGACACCAUGGUUUCUAUCAUCUGCGGAGGGAUUUUAUCCUCAUGUGAUGCUACAGUUCGUUUGGGGUGACAAAGUUGCUCUGUGACGACUCUUCAUGCUUUCUUGAUGAGUCAGAAGGGAAACUGGAAGCUUGCUGAUUAUAAAAGAUGGUUUAAAGCCUCAAAUCAACAAAAACAAACCAUGUUAAAGGCUAACAUAACACAAACCCCUAGAGGAUUAGUGCUCUUCAUCUUGCAGCAUCUCUUUGUGUUGGAAAACUGGGGUGAAAGAUCACCUCAAACACCAAGGACUACACUGAUGGGAAAUUCUCUUCCUUCUUCAUAGUGAAUUAACGGAUGGUUAACCUCUUGAACUCAACUUUUACGUCUCCACAUUCCACUUGUAAUAGAGGUUUUGAUAACCAGGGACAUGUGCUUGUUCUAUUUUGAAUACAUAUCAGCUGUGACACCGUAGAAUCACGGCCCACUGGAAAAUACUGGCAUCUUAAAAGAAGAGUUCUCAUGAGCUUUUCUAACAAGACGGCUCAGAGACUAUUAGCUUGUUGCUUUUAAAGAUUAAAAGUGUGGGGUGGAUAUGUUUAUCUCUGGAGUGUGUUUUAUUAGUCUGUUACAGUUUGUUCAGGCUUCCCUGGCACUGAAAUUGCACUUUUGGCUGAUUGGGUUUCUUGCAAAAAUUUUUUUUUUACAUUUCCUACAAGACACCAGUUAUUUAAGUUUUCUAAGUUGCCCUAAUGCUACUAUAAACAUGUUCCUUUAUGUCAUUUUAAAUUAUCUUUUUUUUGGCACAUUUGACUUAAAACAUUAAAAAAAUAAUUUAUUGCUUUUAUCUUGUGGCAUUCCCUUGCUUUUUCCCACAUGUUGUGGUUGCCGUAGACUUUUUUUUUUUUUUUAGAACCAGUGGAUUUGUUUUUAAUUCUAACUAUUCCAUUGCUCUUGUUUAAAUAGAAAAAUGGUGUGCCAAAGUCUGUCAAUAUUUGAUUAUGUGUCAUUUUCAAACAUAGAUAUGCUGUUUUUUUCUGUGAGUCAUCUGACUGUGACCCCGUGGGAUUUAUUUCUCCAUCUGUGUCGGUCUGACCCAUUUUAGCCCUCGGCCACAUCCAACUGUUCCAUGUCCUUAACAUAUGUGAGGUGUCAGGGGGCUAAGCGAACCAAGGCGGUGCGGGACCUGCAGAUAUGACACUGGACUGCCUUUCUGUCUGUGCGCGUCCCUCAGCGUAUGUCAUACUUCUUCAGCUUCUUGUGUUAACCUAUCACACCUGUCAGAGGUGUAAACCUGAUAACUUAUGAAAGUUAGUUCAAAGAAGCUCCUUGUUUUAAUCUUCAAUGUGUUUUUCACUCUAUAUGUAUGUUUUCACACAGAUGUUUUAAUUUUCUUUUUUUGGGUACUAUUACAUUUAACUUUACAGUUAGUUUUUGCUUUUAUUGUGAAGCCCAGGAUUCAGCACUUGACUGGGUGCACAGACGUGUCUCGCAAUCUGCACAGAUCACAGCGCCAGUCCACAAAGACAGAAUUGGCCCAUCUGAGAAGAAAUUGGGGUAUUUUCCAAGUGGCCCAUGUUGGCAGAUGAGAUGGUUUCAUUGCACGGAGCCGCAGCCCACAAGGGACCGAGGGGUGUGAGGCACAUAUGGGCGAACAGGCUGCUGAUGAGCUGCUUAUAUGAGCCUCUCAUCAUGGCCUUAGAGAGACACAUCUCCACCAGAGGAUUAAACUGGGCUGUGGAUAUGUGUUGUUGGCAUUGUAGUUUCCUGCUUCAGAAGCAUAUAUGCAGAUGUUUUCCCUUCAGAUUAUUACACAAUGCACUAAUUGACUGACAAAGAUUCACGUUUUGUUUUUUUUUCUUUUUCCAAGCUUCUGAAAAUUCCUACUGUCAUAAACGCACCCUCGAUAAUGCAGGGUUAAGCUGUGAUCAGACAAAAUAAAAAUUAUUUAUCGUAGCCUUAAGAUAACAUAUCCACAUGCAUUACAUCUAACAUCCUGACCAACCGGCUGACGAGAUCACAUUUUUAUGGCAUUCCAGUAAUGCCUUAUUGAUUUUCUUUUUCCCUUUUAGCCUCCACACAUUCUCUGAAAAAGAAUUACACCUUGUCAGUCAAGUAAACAAUGCCAGAUUAUAGGGUUCAGCUUUUCCAUCAUUUUUUUCUACUGUGAAGCGAGUAUAUUUACAUGUGGAUAUGGUUUAAAAGUUAAUGUUGUCAUGCCUUCUUUUAUUUUUAACAUGCAUACCUGGGGCAACUGCAUCUUAUUGCAAAUAAAAAAACUUAGCUUGACAAACUCGCUUGCUCAUCACUACAAAAACACACGUGCACACACGUGCACAGACAGGCGCUGUGGCUCUGUGUGGAGCUCUCUGGGAAACAGUGGCAGAUGCUGUCUAGCGUCCCUGAGAGGGCAGAGCCUGCUGGUGUAGUGUUGUCCAGACUCUCAAGGAAACUUACAGCAAUAAAAGCAUCACGGUUAGCCCUGAACACUAUCAUUCAUGUAAAUAUUUCAUUUAUGUGACUGGUACUACAAAUUCUAAUUAUCUAUUGAGACAUAAAUGAGUCACGAUUUGUAAGCUUGCCCUUUAAAGUUUGCAAUGCAUAAAUAUUUGCUCUGCUAAUUGUUUUUUUGUAUUUCAUCAGAUCUAUAGAUUUUCCCUUUAACUCUAAAUUGUUUUAAUUAGGAACCUAAGGAAUUGAUGUGGGGAUCGUGUCAUUAAAAUUCACAUAGAAGUUUGAAAAUAAUUGACUCAAAGUGGAUUUGCUUUUGCCGUUUCCCUCCCUGAUUUCAGAAUAAAGGCCUGAAUAAGUCAUCGCUCUCCAACAGCGUUUUUAAUAUUUACCAAAGGUCUGCGCAUCACAACACUAGUGCUUGAGGCCAGCCUGUUCAGAGAUGCUCAACACACCGAAAAGUCGUUGACAUGUAUUGUGUGCAGUCUCUGACCUGCCAGUUCAAAUCUGCUGCAAUUCUGAACCUGAGAAGCCUUUUUCAAUUCUGCCAUAAAAAAAGCUGUUUGCAGUGGUGUCAUGUAAGGUCUAUUGAAACUUCUUGACUGGAGCUUUCUUUUCAUUUACAAAGAAGCCAUGACUGACAAAGAAAACAAGAUACUAUAGAAAGAUGACAUUACGUAAAGAGUGUGUUUAUUAGUUUUGAACCAGGCUGCAAAGUGGUGAUGGCUAUAUUUGUUAAUGGGGCAACGAGGGGGUGGGAGACUAUAUCUACACUGACUGGAAGGGUAUGGGACGUGGCUUUAGUACGUAUCUUAUCUGUGUGUUCAUUACUGCUUUGCAUUUCACUCAGUGAGCUUGGGUGCUCCACUAAAUCGCAGGAAGGAUUGUUAGACACGCGUGUUAUUAAUUUUUUCAGGGUCCCUGUGGCGUCUGUAUGAAUCUUAAUGCUGCUGACUGGGCUGCAGCUCUAUCGACUUUCUUUAAAAUAUGAAGAAGCUUUGCUGGAAGCGCCUGGGGUCAUUAGCUGAAGAGUAGGCGCAAAUCCCUCACCGAGGCUGCUCUGGCUUCGCCAUGUUAAAUGCGCUCUUAAAAUAUUCAUAAUCAUACUCUUGCCUGCACUCACAGUCUGACACACACACACAUAUGCACACAGACAAUGCACCGGGGACUUAAGGGGAUCAAUAUUAAAAUGUAUUCCUGUUUUGGUGUGCGGUUAAUUAGCUGUGGUUCUCUUAAACCAUGAAGUUUGAGAGCAGAUUAACAGUAUCUUUUUGUACACCAGACGAAAUGCAUAAUAGAAGAAGUUGACAUAUGAAAGGGGAAAUAAAAACCCUCUUCAAAUCAUUAGUUCUUUUGUUUCUUUAAUGCUUUACAGACAUAUUUUAGUUAAGAUUCCCACAAGCCAACUGUGUAGAGGCUCCUCGCAGACACUGUAACUUCCUCUGUGCUCCGAGAAUUCUUGUUUUAUAUUCUCAUAAUUAAGUGGGAAUUUGCAUAAAAUUUACAUACAAACUGUCAGAGAAUCCCUAAUACAUUCAUACUGUUUAUUUAUUUUUUUAUGUAUGAAAAGAUUGAUUUUCCAUGACCCAUUUUGUACUUUUGUUUUAUAAAACAGUGUCAGGAGCCACUGUUAUUUAAAAUACAGGUAUCUAUAAAAGAGUUGUCAGUGAAGCACAUUCUAUUGAUAGUUUUUUUAGUGUAUUUAUGAUGUUCUUAUCUGUGCAAGUGAUCACUCUCAAAAAGAUUUUUGAAGAAAAGUUGUCCUUUUCUUAAAAGGAAACUAAGGAAAUAUUGUACUUGUACAUUGUCCAAAUGCCAAAUAAUUUUGCAAUGGUUGAGUUCUGUUUAAAGUUUACCUUUUUUUUUUGUAUUUCCGGAAAGGAAAAUUGCAAAGGAUUUUUUAAUCAGUCACACUUUAGAAUUAUGUGACUUCUGUCAACUGUGCUUGUUUUACUCUCAUAUAGCAUGUUUUCUUUAUUUUCUGUGCACUUUCUUCUUGAAGCAACAUUUAUAAAUAUCAAUGAACUGAAUUAAGUGUCUGGGAUUAGUUUCCUUUUGUCGUAGAUGAUAAAAAAUGUCUUAUUGGUAAUUCUAAAAAGUUCAGUUUUAGCAAAAUUGGUUUGUUUGAAACAUUUAUGAAUUUUUGUUAAUGCAUAAGAAAGAACAACCUAAAUAUUUCUGAGUUUGUUGCAGAAUUGUUGUGAUUUUUGCGCCAGAUCAGCAUAUUUAGCCAUGGACAUGAACAACUUUUAAUAUUUAGAUUUUUUUUAUGUUGGUUUUUCAUCUAUCAUCAUUCCCUUUUUAAAAUUGUCACUCAGACUGCAAAAAGUGCUUACUUAUUUUUUAUAAAUUGUGAAUCAAAAUAUUUGACAGUAGAUUGAUUUCACAACCUAAAUGAUUUAUAAGUGCAAAACAUAAACUGCAGGAGGGCCAGCUGGAGCUAAACAUGCUUUUGGUUUUAUUUAUACAGCGAAAAAUUACAGUUUGACUUGUAAACGUCAUAUAUUUCUAUUAGAAAUAGUUCAUUUUUGUGUAAAUAUACUUGGAAAAUUGUCCAAAUACUUGACAUUCUGGAAUGUGGGAGACUUGCUUUAAAAUGGAGUGGUCUCAGGUGUCAAAUGUUAAGACAUUGUCAAUGUUUUUUAAAAUCUAGUGUAGAUCCAGAACAAAGCAGAAGUGCAAACACAAACAACACAGUAACCCCUGUGGGGGAUCUGUACAUACAACUGACAGAUCCAUAAAUCAAACAUGAAGAUGAGGUUAGACUCAAGACAUUAAUCCAAAAAAUGGUAAAUCCUUUGACUGAAUCAAAUUAUUUUAUUUAAAUACCUCUCAGCAUCACUUUUUUCCCUUUUGUUGUAAACCAGAAGUGUUGGUUCUUGUCUGAAAGGUCCUGCCCAUCUACUCAACUGAAAGCCAUUUUCUUUCACGUCUUUUUCUCAGGUUUGCCACAAAACAAAGAUCGCUUAUAUAAAACUGUUGCCUUACUGGGAUUUUGCUCAUUUAUAAACAAAAACAAACAGUAAAUUAAGCUACAUGUUAAUUCUGUACAGAAAUAAGCUGCUCCUUAAGGGUUGCUGGCUGUGAAUUGCAGUUUCCUGCUUUGUGUUUCCCCCUUUUCCCGUCUUUUCUCCACUGGAAGCCCUCCAAUGAAGGCAUAAAAAAUGCAUAAAGUGCAAAAAAAAUUACUUCUCAGAAAUCAUCUUCAAACAACUUGUUUAAAAAUAUGCUCAAAAAAUACAAUAAAUGAAGCAUGUUGCCUAAUACCAGGUACGACUUAAAAACUU